CGCACGCGCUGGGCAGCGCCUGGAUCAGGUGAGGCGCGCGCAGGAGCACGAGCGGCAGCCGUUGGGACAGCCCUUGUGCGCGCGCCUGCGGGCAGAUGGAUGGGACUUGAGGGGGGUGGGAGGCGCGCGCACCGUCGCGCGGGGCACCUGAAUGCGGCGCAGGGGGGAGCGCAGCGGGCUGGGUGUGGCGGGAGGGUGCGGAGCGCUCCGCUGCUGCCUUCGGGUGAGUCUGCAGCAGAGCGCCUCGCGGGGGCGGGAAGGAGAGAGAGAGCGGGGGCUGCUGUGCGGAGUGCCGCCUCGGGAGCGGGCAGCGCGAGGGAAACUCCUCGCCCCGUUCGUGAGCCGAAGGGACCGCUUUGCGCUAGCGAGAAGCGGGUGUUCCUGGCUCGUAACCAUCCCCUCGUCGUGGUGAGAGCGCUACCGCCGGUUGAUACUGAAUCAACUCCACGAGGUGUGUGGGCAGCUGCCUUGCUUUGUAAACAUAGUUGCAACCUCGCUAAGAACGCCGUGAGGCUUCGGCAGCUGCGUGUGUGAGGGCUGCGCAGCGCUGGAGCCCGGUAAACGUGUCUGCCUCACAGGUGUGCAAAAGGCCGAGUGCCGGGCGUUGGUUGGGAGGGGUUCCAAACUCUGAAGGGAAUAAAACUACUCUGUAUGCACUGCGUCAUCAUCCAAGGAACAUCCCUCGGUGUUUGGCGCUCUGUCGGCACGGUUCUGCGGUUGUGCCGGUGGUGACGGGGGGCACAGAGCUCCGUCUGUGAGCUGAUGGCGGUUUUACCUCAGCGGGGACCGCGUGGUGGCGGAGUCACCGUCCCUGGAGGUGUUCAGGAGCCGUUUAAAUGUUGCACUGAGGGAUGUGGUUUGGUAAAGAAAUACUGCUGGUAAGUGGGUUAGGUGGGCUUGGAGGUCUUUUCCAACCGUGGUGAUUCUCUGAUUCCGGCAAGUUGCCUUUCAGUGGAAAAUAAACACUCAUGAGGUUGGAUCUAUUCCCAUGCUACUUAAUGGCAAUCCCUUUCCAAAGGGCCUGGUGUUUCAAACUGGGAUGAGAAGGAGAGGAAGCCAUUUUAAUCUUCACGGGUUACGUAUGCAACUACUACGGAGUAACUACAACAGUGUGCAACUACUAUGGAAUGCUUCCGCUGCCACCAUUCCAUAAUGUUUAUGGUUGAUCUUCCACAUUAAAUGUAUGCUAACUUACAACUGAUUUUAUUUUGAUAAGAUAUUUCAGACGAAUGCAGCAGGACUUAGAGGUAAAACCAGUGUACUUUUGAAACUGAUGGAACGUUAUCCAGCUAACAGUGGAAAAAUAUGUAGCUUUUGAACAGAUAGGUAGCAGAGGGGGCCAUGAUAUUAAAUUGUGUGGGAGAACAGUACGAUCUUAAGGAAAGCAUUGUCCUCUCCCAUGUGUAGGGAACCCAUCCGAUUUUUGUCAGCAUAGAGUCUUAAGUGAAAGCACAGUACCUGCAGAAUCACCUGUCUUCCUAGGUGAGAGAUACAAUUCAUGAGAGCUUUGGUUUUCAGCCCAGACUUCUGCUACCAAAUCAGACUAACAGUACAGGUAACUUUUGGCCACGCCAACUGUAAGAAAGACUUCUAUCUUGCUUGGGUUGUUGAGAAACUUUUUGGUGUUUGACUUACGUGGUUCUCUAAUUCCACUGGGACUUUGUUCUGGAACAGAUGAUACGUGUUACUCUGAAGCAGGUAAGAUGCCUCUUGCCCAGAGGAAACUGGGAAACACCAAAUUAAAGCUUUCCUAGUAAAAUGCUGUAUUUGUGGUUGUGGAAACCUAUAGAUAUGGUCAGCUCUGUGCACAGACCUUUGAGCAAGAACUGUUCUGCAAGUGCCUGCAGAUAAGGCCAUCACAUUCUUCCUGAAAACAAGUGUUUUCGUUUGAGUUUCGCUGACAAAUCAAGUUUUAUUUGUCAGCCUUUGUUGAUUCAUCCUUACCCAUGAUUCAAAUCCAUCAUAUUGAAGUAGUUUUCAACACACAUAGUGGUGAUCACUAUGCAGAAGAGCAUAAAACAGUCCUUGCCAUUCCCUCCUACCCCUUCCCACUGUGAAAUAAAACUGUAUUAAAAAGAACCCCACAAAACAUAGAGGCCUUCGUUCUGUUCUUUUCUUUCUUUUUUUCUCCUUUUGUUCCUUCUUUCUAGCUUGUUGCCUUGUUUGAUUACUUUUUCUUAGGGUCACAGAGGAAGGUGUCUGCAAUACUUCUGCGUUAAGCUGCUUGCCCAGGAGUUCCCUGUUUUGUCUGUAAUUUACUGGAGUUGUGGGAGGGGAGGCCGUAUUACUGCAGGAGAGCAGAAGUAUACAAAAAGUCCAUUUAAUGGUGCAGCAUCUUAAGUGGAGAUCAAAGCAUGCGUUAGAAAUGUGGAGGGUACUUCAGCUCCUGGUUACUGCUAACAAGAUGGAUUAGAUGACCUCUCAAGAUUGUUUGCAUAGUAUACCAGGAUGACUGUUUAUUUGUUUUCUGCUUUUCCAAACACGGGGAAAAAUAAAAGUUCAGGUGUUCAAAUGUUGGGAUUUUUGACUUCUCUGCUUUUCCAAAGAGAAUGAGAGGGAGGAGAAUGAAAGAUCCCAAUUUAGAAAACAGGAACAGAACUACACAAACGCUGUGGAGAAAUAACUUAUUUCCAUUUGUCGUAGGAAGGGGUAUUUUCACUCAGCAGGAGAAGAUGGUAUAUAAAUCAUCAGGAGGAUAUAUGUUUUGAUAAAGAAACCAUGGUUAUUUGAAAAACAAAACAGAACUAAGUAAACCAAACCAACGGAAAGCUUUUCUUCUGGGUUUGCUUACUGUGCAUAGCUGUAGAAUGAGAAUAAUCCCACCUUUCUGCAAAAGGUGAUGUGUUACGGGAAGGCUAAAAGUGGUUCAAAAGGCUGCUGUGGAAUCUGUGCAGGAAAAAAUCCUAAAGGGUGUAUGAAAGGAACAUGCUGAGCACAGCCUAGGGAGGAAAAUAACAAGUAUGUGAAGAGAUUAUGCAAGGUAAAUAGCUCUUCUGGAUUGCCUUUCUUUCAAAGGUGAAGUGCUGCAUGAUAGCCUUGGUAUCUUUAAAAGUGAAGAACACACCCUGUUUGCACUGCUUGUCAGUUUUCAGGGCUGCUGAAGGCCUCUGCCUGCUCAGAAGAGACAGAACGUUUCAGCACUGUGUUUUUAUGAUUCUGUGAAUGUUUUCAUCGUGAUUUGUGAUAACUGCCUCAUACCUUCACAGUGCUCUUGAAAAAAUGGUCGUCUUCCCUGCGGAAAAACUACCCGUCUGUUUUUUUUUGUUUGUUUGUUUGUUUUUUUCCUCUAGAACUAAAAUUCGGCUGUUAACUUCACCUGGAGAAAAUCAUGCACUCAUCAUUGAGCUGUGGGAUAGGGAGAAGGCUGUAUAUUUGAAAGAGAGCAGAGGCUUUGAGGCACUUAUUUUAAAGGUGCUGACUCGUUCUGUGUCAAAGGCAGGUGAUCUCUAGGAGUGCUCUGCCUUAAUAUCCUCCAGGAGGUUCAGGGCUUGUCUGCCCAGUCUGUCUAAUCAUGAUGCUGGCUCCAGAUGGGUGGAAUUUUGGAGGACAGGUGGGUGGUAUUGGAUUUUUCCAAGGAACAGUUGAGGAGUUUAUUUUUCUGUUGUAAAUACCUAAAUAAUAAGAAAGCAGAGACAGCGUUAGUGUGAAUUAGUCUGAGCAGUGACAUGCAGCUUGACGCUGAAUGUUAAUGAAAGAUUAACAAGUCCAAUUGGCUGAGUUUGUUCUUUGUGCUCUUUCCUGAAUGUUUCUGAGAUAGAGGAAUGUAGAGAAAUUUUUAGUGGAUAAAUGUUUGGAAUCUUUUCCUGUGGGUCUAAAUAUUAAUGUACAGUAGGAGGCACUGUUUUAAUGUAAAUAUUUUCCAUCAGAUGGCAGAAUGAUGCUUUGUACUUCUGCUUUUCUGAUCACAUUUUUUCUGGCUUUUCUAUACAUUUCCCAAGCACCUGGAAAAUAGGAUUAAAUGCACAUGCACAUUUGUGAAUUCAGUGGAGGGAUUCUAAGUCCAUGUUUUCUUAACUUUCACUUUAAAUUAUGGUUCAGUAGAAUUACAAAUAAUUUAUUGUCAAGAGCAUACAAAUGACUUUCCUGAGACACGAGCAAGCGUUCUGUAUGAGACUGAGUAUCUUGAAGGUGGUAGAAGUGUAUGACAGAUGUUCUGGGAAUUUUUCUGGUUUUUAAAAUUCAAACAAACAAAACCCUCAUGUAUGUACUUUCUUAUGAAGGAUGAAACCAAACUAAGUUGCAUUGUCCCACAGUAAGGAUUUCAGUGCUGUGUCUCUCAAAGGCAGAUGUUUCUGUCCUGAAGCUGAUAAAGAAAGGUGCACCAUGUGGUUAUUUACAGUAUGGGCUCGUAUCCAGGACACCAGAACAAGCUUCAUAGUAUGAACUUCAGAUGACCAUUUUCAGGCAUGGGCCAUAUCUUCAACACCAACAGAUUUACAGUAAGCACAGGAAUGAUUCUGCAGGGAAGGUUAAGAAAUACUUGAAUUGAAAGUCCUUCUGGGGAACAUAUGACAGAACACUUUGGACUUGUAUUUGAGACAUUUUUUCUUAGUUAAGGUGUGGUUUGGCUUCUUAUUAGCUCUUCUACUGUGUAUUUCUUCAAAUGUGGUGUUUGUCAUCACUAAUACAUCCUUACUUAUAAGACUUAUUCUUCCAAUAGGAAUGAGAAUCUUUAAGGGAUUAACUUUUUUUCCUAUUUCCAUUUUGAUUUCUUCUUGGUACGCUUCCUGAAUUUUGCCAACACUUAUCUAUAGUUUUUAAAGUAACAUAAAAAUCUACCUUUUGCUUGCAGUGUCAUUCUGCCUAGUUCAUUUUCUACAUGUAUCUGAAUGUAUCUUAAAGCAACAGAUUCUUAGGACUUAGUGGCUUUUGGUAAGACCUUGAGCCUACUGUAAUUUUAUCUACAUUUCAAAUUAUUGUGAUGCAAGUUUUCAAGUUGCAAGCAAAAACAACCAAGCUCUUAAUGUUAUAGUUGUUGCUUUUACUUCCUUUGAACUGCAGAUGAGUAUAAAAUAUGAAAUUAUUUAUUUAGCUGUUGAAGCCGUUAUGAACAUCUUACUUCUACGCUUUCAAUAUUUAAAACAUUACAGACUUUCUAGAUACAGCCACAUUAGCAUUGAGUGAGGGAAAGGAGUGGGAACAUUAUGCAUAUAGUUUAAUUUUUGUUCUUUGUGUCCUCAAAUGAAGGUAUAUGAGGAACAACUCAUGUAGAUUAUCUAACUAGGUUUUUUGAACCACUCUAGAAGAACUUACUAGUUCCUUGACUGUACAGGAAAUACACCAUGGAAGGAGAUGUGUGAACUGGUAUGUGAACUAGUACAUUGUGCAACAAGUCAUGGGUCAGUGUAAUUGAUCUGUAUGCAAGCUGCUGGGGUUUAAUUUGGUUUGAUAAUUCUUUGAGACUUUAACCAUUAACUCUUCAGUACUAAAGUCAGUAGCAUAAAUGCAGUGACCUUGUUGAUGCUGAAGAUUUGAACCAUCGCUAAUUGACUCAGUGGCAUUUUCUUGUGUUGAGAAGAACAGCACAAUCUAUGUCAAUCAAAAUCAUAUCAAUCAAUCAGAAGUAUAUAUGUAUAUAUACUUCUCUCUAUAUAUAUACUUCCUCUAUAUAUAUCUAUAUAGAGUGUGGCUUAGGCAAUACAAAUGUGUUUGCUGUGGGAAGUUUUGGGAUCACAAGUACUUUGUUAGCUUCAUGCAUUCCCAGCGAGCCUGCCAGGACAGUUAUAAACCAUUUGAGAUGAAGUAAAUCAAUAUUCUUUCUUACUAACAUAACUCCGAGGCAUCUCUUAUGAUGAAAUUUAUAUUUGAAAUUUCAGGAGUUUCUUUUGUCUAAUUAACUUUUUAAAAGAUAGCAACAUAAAAUUGAGCAUCUAUUUAUUCAUAACUGGGAAGGUACAGUAGUCUGAUGUUCUCCCCCCUAUCAAUCAGAGUAAAAAAGUUGAAAAGCUGAAAUUUCCUGAGAAAUGAGAAGUUGGAAAUUAUUUUUAAGACUGCUUUCCCCCACCCCUCUCUUGUCUUUCUCCAGACACCUCCAGUGUGUCUGCUUUCUGUCCAGAAAGGGGAAAUAACUGUUAUGCUUAUCUAACUGCAAACUAAAGUCAUUUGAAUCAGUUGCACUGAAUAUUAUUCAGCUGUUCUUAUCCAUUCUAAAAUGUUCUUAGUGAAGUGCACUUCAGGAGGUGGAAAGCAACAGUGAGGCUGUUGAACAGUCUUUCAGUGAAUUAAAUCUGAGUUACUGCUGUCUUCUUAAUGAUUUUGUUUUAUUUAGAAUAAAGAGACAUUUUAGUUGUACAGGAUCCUGUGCCAAGUGCAAAUUGACUUACUAGGAAAGGAAGUAACUGUUAGAUAUGUGCUUGACUUCUGACCCAAUGAUUUCUGAUGAUGGGGACUUCUAGAUUUGCCUUUCUGUAUAAGUGGUAGUAGCUAAAAUUGCAAGUGGAUAGUUUACUUUGAGCCCAUAAAGACUCAAACAGAAAAAUUAAUGUGGAUUCUGACUUUCUUUGUUCUUUAAUCACAGUGAACAUGUAAGAUCUUUAGUAUAUACGCUAUGGAGCUUGCAGUUGAAAUUGGUAUUUUGUCUUGUGUUGUUUCUAUGAUUUUUUGUUUUUUUAAGUACUAAAAAGCCAUGUGUAGCAGAAAUGCUAAGUCACAGCUUGAACCAGUGAUUGAGCACCUGGUGGGAAGGCAGGGCCAACCCAGGGGAGCUCAGGUGCAUGCAAUUCAGUGCAGUGCCCCCUAAGUGACCAGAGGGGUGGAGCCAGGAUCCACCCCUUCCCAGACCUCCUAAGGGUUGGCAGUGGAAGUAAGGCCAUCUUGCUGGAGAUCCCAAUGUACCAGAGGACUUCUAAAGGUAAGCAGUUACUUUUCCUUAUUUCUGUGCCUGCUGCUGUUGCGUUUGAGCGAAUCCUCACUUGUUGCAGCCUGGGAUCCUGCUGCUCUGCUGUCAUUGUUGUGCUUACUAUUGCAUUACACCAUGCUACCAAGGUCUCUGUAUGUUCUUUCUGUCUGACCCUGUUUAGUUGUAGGGUAUUUUGUUGCUAUCCAAAUCUCCUCCUUCAGGAAGGCAGAAAUUUGUCUUUCUGUGGCUGUGGGAGUUAGUGAAUCAUAACUGCAAUAGAGUUCAGUGGAGAUUGCUUGGUUUAACACCUGUUCAUAAUUUUCUUUCCAUAGAAGAACGCUUGCAAUUUUUUUUUGCAAUAAUACAUAAAGAACUUUAUUAAUACUUAAGGUACACGUGCUACAUGUUUGCAAAUGAGCUAUGUGCCUUGGCAUCUAAGGCACAUACCUCAAGAGAAAAGUGCUAGUUCUGUAUUCAGUUGGUAAAAUACAUCUUGCAUCGUGUAAGGUUUCCUAGAGGAAAGUUCAAGGUUGUGUAUGAUCUGUCAAUCUCCAUAGACUGGAGUUUUAAACUGGUUGUUGACGUUCUUCUGUUGGAAUUGUGUUACUUGUAGGAAAUAAUAAAAAGCAAGUUACUGCUGAUAAUAAGCUAAAUAUAGUUCCCAGGAGGUUAUAAAUGUAACAGCUCUGUUCCAUACACCUUCUAUCCUGCGUAGGUUUUUUAACUGUGGAGAUUCACAGGGCAGGCACACUUAAGGAAUGUUGAUUGCCAAGUCAGCAUACUGGUAAAGAACCUGUAGAUUUUGCUCAAGUCUUCAACUGAUCCUGCACAAUGCUGGAGAAAGAUGUUAAAAUGAAAUUUGCUUGAAUCCUUAUAUGGGGUUGAGAAUUUCUAUGAUUAUUUUGGGAUGUGACCUGUGUAGUCUGAUCUUGCAGACAAUUCUGAGAUGGCAAUAAAGAUGUAUGCAUAUGAAAAACCUCAUCUUGGUUCCUACAGCCAUGAACAGGACAUAAGAAAUGAACUGAGUGCUAGCCAUGAUAAAUAAUCAUACUGUGCAAAGUGUUCUCUGGAAGCGCGUUCUGACUAUCCAGUCACACACCUUAAAUCCAGCUGAGGUAGAAGUUGGGCCUAACUAAACCAAUAGUUUUGACUGGUGACACGAUGGGAAGAGUGUUUCAGGUUUUCUUUAAUUUGUCUGUGUCUUUGGUGUUUUGUUGUGUUAUUUAUUAGCUUGUUCUACCCCUCUCUACUGUGUUUUCUGCUUUCCUGUCAUUUUCUCUUCCUCCUCUGUUUUGCCAUGAUCUUGAAUUCCCUCUCAGUUUAAUCAAAGCAGAAGUCCCUUAAGAAUAUCAGGGAAAUUCAUGGCAGGGUAGAGAUGAGAACUUUAAUUAGGCUUCUUCUGAUGGAAAGGCUUCAGUGAGAGCCUGAUCUGUCUCAUUUGCCGCAGGAGGAAACUGGUGUUGUUACCUUUGGAUAGAGAAGGCAAGAGGCGGUACUAAAGAGAGUGCUGAUGUCACAGGGAACAUGGAAGAGCAAUAAAAGGAGACUAGAAAGGUGGCAGGCUUCAUUUUAUCCCCUGGUUAAGUAACAGCUUGUGCCUCAGUAGAAGCCUUCUAAUACCACCAUGUGAAUGUGGUGGCUGGUUUCUUAACCUGUCAUGACUUCACUUUUGGUUAAAUUAGAAUGGGUGAAUAGGUGUUAUCUGCUUUUGCCCGAGAAUUAGAGGGCAAGACUAAUUUUGUAAUCAUGGAGGAGUGCUGAGGAAACUAGCUGUUCAGCUGUUCUUUGUGCAAUACAAGAAGCGAGUAGUGAGCACUCUUUCCCAUUGUCUUGAGUGGUGUGUGCCAUACACCUCUAUCAGAGCAGCAAUACGUGUGUGUAUUUUGAGGAUGUGCACAGGAAUAAAUGAGUUAAAUGUCAGUGAUAUUUGCCAGCAGCGUGAUGUGGAAAUGCUGCCCACUGCAUCACACAGAUCUGCUACCAUCUGUUCACAAAGGUUUGCUGCGUUAAGAGGAGCAGAAAAUUGUAUAAUUUUCCGUAUGUUAAACUUGUGGCAAAACCUGCUUUUUUUCUCUCCAUGGAUAUUUAUUUCUUCUGAAAUCCAAGUCAAGUCUCUUUGUUCUUAAUAUUUAGAAAUUUCCAUGGGUGUUAUACAAGUAAGCCUCCUUUACUUAAGUUUGUAAACGCUGUUUUUUUCCCUAUAUCUGAUCAACAUUGUCUUUUUUUCUUUGAUUUGCUAUUCCCGUGAAUACAGAAACCCAGUAAUUAAUGUAAUAGGACCAACAGUCUGUUAUUUGGAUCAUAUGGUAUUUUUUAUAUCUUACUUGCAAUAAUUGAACCCUAAAAGGAUUGAUUUCAUGAUGAGCUUGUAGUUAUAGCUCUCAGAGUGUCUAUAUUUUGAUUUGCAGAGUUCAGCAGAUCAAUUAAAAUAAUUGCAGUUGCUGCCGUGUUUGUUACUGAUGGGUAUUUGCCAUCAUUCUUGGCCAAAUAACCUAUCCAAAACAAUUUUAUUUUAACAUUCACUGUUAUAGGAUUAUAGCCAACAAAGGCUGUACAGUGGACCAUCUGUAUAGGCCUCAGAUUACUAGCCUUUGGUAUCUGAUAGAAAACGUUAAGGUCAGCUGGUCUUAAAGACAAGUUUUUCCUAAUGGGACCAGCAAUGUAAUAGUAUGUGCGAGUAGGGCCACAUAUUCAACGUCAUGGACAGCUGUUUUCCCACCUGGAAAUAGCUCUUUGGGCAGCUGUGCCACAGUACUGAACUAUAAGAUGUGAAGUACAAUAUAUCGUGUCUAUAAACUGUAUUCUGAUGUUCAAAUGCUCUCCUGUUGUCUGUCUCAACACCUCAUUGUGACAUGUUAACCUAUUCUGGUGUUACCAGCUUUCACUUGGCUGAAGAAUCUGUCACUUUUGUUGAUGACAUCUUGGGGUGGGAUAGUGAUAGAACAGUAGCUGCUGUCUUUAACCUUCUGCCUCCCCUCUUUGGGGAUCCCUAGAGCAGGAGAUAUCCAGGCUGAAUUUCUUGUUCCCAGCUGCUAUGUGCCAAUAGCAACAGCAGAGAUGUGGUGGGGGUGCUCCACGUAGUGAGUUAGAUUAGCCUUGGAUUUGUUCUGCUUUGUGUCAAAGAUCCAGAGUAACCUUGGAAGGCUCAAGAGCAGCUGAGUGCUUGCCAUUAGUUUCUUGAACUGGGCUCAGUGCCAGCACAAAGAUUAAUUAUUCCCGUUAUGUAUUGGUCCUUAAAAUGGGAAAAAGAAAUAAAAAAAAAAUCAGCUUUGGAAAGGAGAGAUGGCUGCGUGUUAAAAUUGGCUUGAUUAUUUGCUCCUGCCAUGAUUAAGAAAUUCAGUAGAUACAAAUCAGAUACUUUGCAGUCUAGCUAUACUGUCAUUAAUUAUGGUUUAUACAGCUUAAUUUGAUGCUUGGGUGCUUAGACCUCUAGCACCAUUGUGAGGUCUCCAUCUGUGCAGUUGUUCUAAUGAUGUAAAGAAUUCCAAAUGUAGAAACUGAAAGUGACUGUUUUUCUAAGGGGGAAGACAGCUGACAGGAUUUAUGUAUUUUGCUCUGUAGAGUUUAAAUGUAGAAGUUAUGCUGGUAACUGCGCUUUUGUGCAGUCACUCUGUAGUUAGGCUGACCUGGCUAUAUAAUUUGUUUUUUUUUAACAGUAAAAUAAAUAUAUGCAGUAUACAAAAAAUUGCAAGUGCAUUGAGAAGAGAAGUCUGUAAUAUGGGUCUUUUUCUAAACUUUGGUCUGUUUACUGUUUCAUCUUUCGGAAAACAGCAGUUGAAUGUUGCUGACUUUUUCUCUAGUUUCCAGCUGAGAGCAACUGAACAGAUGGGAGUGGGAGAUAAAAUGACAAGCCAGCACAACCAGUGUGAUUCUUGUUGUAAAAAUUUUUAUUUAUUUAUUUUAAAUUUGGAAGAGAGCAUAUUUAGUGCAGAAGAAGCAGUAAAAACAUCUAAGCACCUUUUGAGUAUUGUUUGUCUGUGUGUCAAAACCUGCUUUAGUUGUCCCCUGGAUGUGAUAGAUGGGGAAAUAGUCUGUGCUACUAUACAUAGAAAGAGUUGCAUCCUUUAGGUAAUACAAAUGCUACAGAACUCUGCCAGAUGGCGUUAACUGUGAGAAAGUUCUGUGAUUCAUUGGGUAAAAUGAUUGUCAUGGCAACUGAUGUGCUUCAGAGUUGUUGGUCCUGUCAGCAGUAGCAACUACCAUUGGUUUCACCAGAUGUGACUCUGGACAUAAAGGGGAACUUCUCGUGGCAUUGAUUUCCAGCAUAGUUACUUUCACCAGUGAGGUGCAGUUGUAGAUUUUUUUUUUCUUUUUGCCUUUAAGUUCAUUUUGGAGUUCAGUAGACCUUAAAUUUGCCAUUAUGAAAAAACAGAAGCACCUGCUCAAAAAUAUCAGAAUGAUUCACAACAUUUUCCUUUAUCUUGUCCUUACCUUAACUUGAUCAAGGGAGAAAAUUAAUUUUCACUCCCAUUACAUUUUCUCCUCCACUUUUUGGAGUGUACAGUAGGAAGAUCAGUACAGAGAUAGGAUAUUUAGCAGAAGAAUCAAAAAGAAGGGGGGAGGCUGGGAGCAGUGCUGUGUUCUUGUCUGUAAGUAAUAUUUUUGGGAAAAGGUGUUUUCUGCAAAGUUAUUUUUGGGUGAUUUAUGCUAGCCAAACAGAUAUUCAUUUGUAUAACCUUGUUCUCAGCUAUGUUGCUCUUAAACAUUUACUGUUUGGUUUCCAGUUUAGUGUCACAAAGCGCAAAUCUGUCCCUCUUUGCUAGUAAUUAGUGAGGAGCAAUACUAUGAAAUAGCUUAGAAUAAUUGCCAAAGGAGUACUCUUAGCUGCCUUGGAAAAAUGACUGAGCAUCCUCAAAGGCCACAUCACACAACACUUUAUGUUCCAGGAAGAACACAUACUAGCAGAAUGGAUGUCUAGAGAGAGACAGCAUAAGCCUUCCAGACACUUUAAUAAGAUUUAAGUUAAAGAAAAUAUCUCCAGGGACAUGAAUGGUCACAAACCUUCUCCUCUCUCUCCCUGAAAAACUGAAUGAUAAAAGAAAAAAUAUGGAAUAUCCAAUUUACGUCGUCAGAAACACCUGUUUAGGAAUAGUGCCUCCUGUAACUAUAACUUGUCCUGGAUUGUGGACAAAUCUUUCUUAGUCUUGAAAGAGAGAUAAGAUCUUCAGCUUUGUCUUUUAGCGCAAAUCAGACUUACAAAUUUGUUUUAAAUUUCCAGAAAUGUGGGGUUGACAGACAUCAGAGAAUCUUUGGUUAUAAAACGAUUUUUCUCAUCACUAAUCUUUCUUUGUACUGUAAUCAUGAAAAGUGUAGUUAGAAAUGGCCCUGGUUAAUGCAAAUCAAUCCUAGUCUGCUGUCUUUGAGAAAACCUAUUUGUGCUUGUGUCAUUUAAGAAUCAUCCCCUAUCUCAUUAAAAUCCCAUUCAACUAUAUAACUCCUUAAUGUAUAUGUAUGUAUUUAUUCCUUUUAAUAAGAAUGUAAGAUAUUUUAAAAUGUUUUAUUAAUAAUUGGAUAGGAAAAAAUUGCAAGAUAAUCUUGCUAGCUUUCCUGCGCUUUAUUUUGACUAGGCUGCUUCUACUGAUGUUGUCUUGUCAGGUUCCUUAGAGUAACAUGGUGAAUAUUGUAGUUGCAUAGUUCUAGAAAGAGAGACACUAAUAAAUAUAUAUCUAUCACACACAGUAUAAAUACAUACAUAUGAUAUGUAGAUAAUGCAUAUGUUUUAUAUAUGAUCUUAUAGAAUUGCAUGUAAGAUGACAUCUGACAUCGUAAUUAGAUGACAGAAUAGUAGAGGAAAUGGAAAUUGUCAUUCUGUUGUCCAUUUAUACUGUCCUUUGGACAGUAUGAAGUUGUCACAAAGGGAAACCUUUAUUAAGUCAGCUGUGAUGACUUUGAAAUGUGAUAGAAGUUGAACCACUAAUGAUGAUAUAAGUCUUUAUACUGGGGGUAAUGCUAUUAGCAUAACAUUUUUGUAUUCCUUACCCUUAACGUAUUCUAACAGGAUUAUGGAGAAGUAAAAAAAUGCCUCAAUAAGGUAUAUUUUGUCAUGAAUGAUUGUUAGUGCAUCUUUUGCUAAGAAGUAAUUAGAAGAAUGUCAGCCAAACACUUGACGCUCUUCUGAUGAAAGAACAUCCUUUUAAUUCAAUUCAGGCUGAAGUAGAGUGAGCAUUGCUUGUGGGAAGAUAAUUUACUGGAGGCCAAAGGAGAGAACUGGUUUAUAGAGUCGUGCCUUUACACCUCACUUAUACAUCAACCAUAUAGUGAUAAAAAGGACUCUGAAAAGUUCUUGUCAGUGCUGGAUUUCAAUAUAAAUGAUGGCAAUGAUAACAAAAGGUCUGUUAGGUUUUUUUUUUCCCCCACUGUUAGGAGCAGACUUUUUUGUUCUGUUUGACCCCAACUAAUUAUGUUGGUCUGUUCUCUGAAUAGCAGCAGAGAAACAGCUGCUUUCCUGUAUUACUAUUCAAUGGCAGGAUUUCCUUGCUUGCUAAAUUGAAAUCUCUUCAGUUAGAUUUGAGUCAGGAAUAGUAUGGAAUCUUGGAAAAGCACACAGAACUCGUGAGAUUCUGUGCUCCCAUUUAUUAUUAUGCUUAAAUUUAGUGCUGGUCCUCAAAAUGUGGGUAUUUUAUGAAGGGUUAGAACUUGAGAUUUGUCCAAUCAUACUGAAAUAGUUCCACCUAAAAUAGAUGCAAAUGCUAGACUGUUGCUGACAUUUUUUUGUAAUGGAAUGCUAGUGACACCCAGUGGCUAUAUUUGAUUAUAUACAUCAUGAGGAUUAUUAGUCUUUUUUUUUUCCCUUGUAAAAACUGCACCUUGGAGAAACCAUGGUAAAACUACCUGAGAUUCAUGUAUAUUUUCCACGUAUAUGAUCUCUGUAUUCUUUAGGAUAACAAAUUUAAAUGUGCCUGAGAAAUGAGAAUGAAGAAAAGAAAAAAAAUUAAUGGUACUAACUUUAUCACAUAUUUAAUGACCACGGGGAAAGACUUAUUGCAAUGUGAGGAACGUUAUUCUCUUCAAGCUUCGUAGGGGAUGGUUUGGAUUCAAUUCCUUAUUUUUACAUAUACUUCAUGAAAUCGUAUAGUUCUAAUUACAGUGUUCGUCUGUAAGGUGGUACUAUUAGUGCUUUCCUACUUUUGAGAAUAAAUAUUCUGAAGCCCAGGGACAGUAUUUAUUUAUUUUUGUGUGAGUGUUUCUGUGCCAAUACCAUAACCAGGUACUGGAACUUGAGGACCUAAAUUUUGUUCUUUCUCACUGAGAAAGCAGAAUACAUCUUUCAGCAACAGGAGUAGAAAAUAUGAUUUUGUGGAGAAACCUGUUGAUAUUGAUUUUAAUCAGUAAAAAAAUCUUACUGCUGUUAGGGAAGUCUAUGAGACUUCCAUCAGAGGCAGACAUUUUACCAAGUACAGAAAGCUCAAGUUAUAUCUCCAUUUUAGAAGGAAAGCUUAGCUAGGAUGACUUAUGAGCUUUUCAUUGUUAUUGACUCUAUGAAUUUGUUCCAAACUUUUUUUGUGUUCAUUUCUUACAAUGAAAUCUCUACAUGUUUGCUUUGUUGUUGUUGUUGUUCUAGUAGUGUGCUAUUCUCUUUUCAGCAACUUCUAGGUGUAUCCUAUUAUCUGACAGAGCAGGACUGGACUGCGUUUUGUCAGCAUUUGCUUCUCAAGAGUUGGCACUGUUGUUAAGUGGCUGACUUUGAGUCUUGGGAUGAACAGUAAAAUUAACUUUCAUAAACCUGAAAAUAGUCGCUCAGCCAUCAGUGUUCCUCAAAGGAACUCUUAAGCAUGAACACAGAGAUUGUGCAGCUUGCUGUGAUCUGACUCUGCCAGUCAAGAUGGAGUAAGAAAAAUAAUGCUGGUAAACAAGGAGUCAGGUUCUUAAGUUACUUGCAAAGCUGUAAACAUAGUCUGUACUUUCUAAACAGCAUGAAGAGCAUUCUGUACUGAGAGAUGCAACAGGAUCUAUUCCUAUUAACUGAACAAUUUAGCAAUGCAAAAUUAAAAAGAUUAACUUAUAGUUCUUUCUGAAGUCUGGUAUGACUCAUUAUCAGUACUGACAGGAAGCCUUGUGGAGACUGGAAAUAGGAAAUGAAAUCUUGAAACAGGCUCCAUUUAACCCUUUUUUACGUAUAAAAUUCAGAGCAUAUAUUAAGUUAGGCUUUGAAGCUUGAUGGACAGUCGGUGCUAAGCCUCUAAAAACUCAUUAUCUUAGGCCUAUUCUGUUUUGUAAGCUCUUCCUGCUGUACAUACGCAAUGUAUUUUGUUGUGCUGCCAGAUAAAGUCAAGCUGGUAUAAGUUGAACUUGUGAAGAUGCAUGUGUAUGUGUGUUCCAGUGUGACAACAUUAAUAUAUCUGCGGUGAGACACAUCUCUUUUGCACUGACAUGGCCUUGGGCUACUGGCCUUUUAGCUUACACUCUUAGGUACAACAAGAAUUUUAGUGGAUGCAAUGGUGUCGUAUGAGACUCUUCUUCAAGGCAAGGGAUAAGUGAAUGGAAGAUCAAGUGAGAGAUCAAGUGUGACAAUGUCAUGGCAAGAUGAAGCAGCAGUGCUUCACAGUGACAGCUAUAGAACUUUUGUAGUGCAGCAUGACAUUCCUCAGUGUUACAAAAACAGUCUGUUCUGGUUGUCUACAAAUCCCAUCUGGUUUAGCGACAGGUCUUUCAAGGAAGGACUUUCUAAAUGACACAUCUGCCUCCUGCUGUUCACCUGACAUCACCAAAAAAAGCAUAUAAGUAUGUGGAGGCCCUUCAGGUCUGUGAGCUUAAAUAUUUUUGCCUCAUCUUGUGGAUGAGUACAGCAUUCUACCAAGAGGGUAUAGAUGCAACGCAGAGUUUGGACUGACCACUACUACUGGUUUAGAUAGCACAGAGUUUAAUUAUAGAUAAAAUGAUAUUGUUGGUCUGGCUGAUUGCAUGUGCAUUUUGCAAGUUUGAAUGAGAUUUUGAUCUUUAAAUAAGAGCCACCGGUACAAAAACAAAACAAAACAAAAACCCUCUCUUCUUCAAUCAGAAUUGAUGAGAGAAAUAUCAUUAAACUGAGGGAGUUCUUUUUGCUUUUGCAUAAAAACCAACAGCUGAGAAGUUAGGUGCACUUAAAGUUCUUGACUGGGAUCAGCUACUUGAAAAAAAAAUGAUGUGGUUAUGGAAGAUGUUAGGAGACUGAGUCUGCACCCACAUAAAUCAAUGGAAAAUAUAGGGGAACAGUGUGAAGAGGAGUAACUGCCAAGAAAAGUAGGCAUCUGCAACAGUGCCUCUGCAACAAUAAUUUUCUCUCUAAAGCAGUAUGUUUUGAAUAACUUUUCAUGAAGAGAUUUUGGCUUGUUUCAAGAGUUUUUUGGUAGACCCUAACAUUUUAAGUCUUAACUAAUGAGCACUCAGUAUAUAGUUUUUAAGAGUCUUGUAAUUUUUCUGGUGCAUGAGUCAGAUGCAGGCACUGGAGAGACAUCAGCAGAGAUGAGGUUGGUACUAAGGAUACUGUUCUCAAGUAGUUGUAUCUUUCUGUUGGUAUGUGUUUAUAAUUCCUUGUAGGUGUACAGGAGGAAUUACAGACAGUGUUUGUUUUUGGAUAGAGAAAAUGUCUGAAAAAUUUCAGUCCCAGAAUAAAUGUUUCCAUAAAUAAUGUAAACGAGGAAAAUAUGAUAUGUAAAUAGAACGGGUGGAGUUGUUCUUCUGGGUUUGAACCAGAAUAGUAUAGUCUUUUCAAGUUCACUCGAAAUCUAAACAGCUGUUUGAUUUGCUCUUGAAUAAAAUAUUUACAUCUGCUAUUCCUUCCUUUGGAUGCGUGAGUCUAAAGUUAUUCAUAGAAUGUCCAUUCAAACAUUACUGUAAGGAGAAACAAGUGUACGGAAUGUGUACUGGGUGCCUUUCAUUUGAAACUCUUUUUCUUCUCAUCCUUCUGAUUUGAGAAUUGUAAAUUAUACUAUAAAGGGGCAAGUCAGUAAACAAUUGUACAAUAGUAAAUGAGAUUGAAUGAGAAGCAUCAAUUCUUGAUCAACACAUUGACGUGUGUAGUCAUGCAGAUAUAUAUUCAUGGCUCACAAUUCAUCUUUGCUCACGUUAAUAAUGUUCAACAUAGAUAACUUAGAAAAAGAAGAAUGGGCUAAACUUAGCCAAGGUUUAUUUAUUAAAAAUAAUAGUAACUCUAGUUUCAAAUGAAUCAAAGCUGUUUCCAAACACUACCACUUUGAGAGACUGCUGAAGCAUUUCUUUGAAGUAUUUUUCUACCUUAAAUGUAUAUUUCUCAAAUGGAAUCAGCAUGAUAACAUUGCAAAAUUAAAGGCUAAUACUUUUCAAAAUUUAUAUAGACAUUUACAAAGUACAGCAGUAAAUUCUAAGUAAAUAUGCAAGAGGUAAAAUUAAAAAAUAAAAGUUAACCCUUAAGGUUCAUAGGUGAAGUAGUUCUGAAGGGAGGGGUAAGGAGAGGAGAAUAAAAUACAUAAAAUCCCCAAGCUGUUCGUGCAUACAUAAUCUCCUACUGAAGUUAAUAAUUAUACAUUGUACUCUACUGCUGGUUUCUAGUUCUGAACUUCUUCUGUGCGUGAUAUGAAGAAAUAUAGGAGAUCUGGCCAGGUGCAUAGUCAACAAUUUACUCAGAAUGGGAGUGGAAGCUGAGUGCAGAAGUGCCUUGAAGGAAAAAAUAUUUCCAGUUUUGUAAUUGUACCAUAGGAAGCAGAAUGAUAGCACUUGAAGGUAACAUUAUACACAUUCUUGUAUUAAAUAACAUAGAUUCAGGAAAUAUGUCUUAUUUGUAUUGUACCUUAAAAUAUUUGCCAAAACUGUUGCAAAGCACAUAGGAGGGAAUCUGUUAGGUUAGCAUAUUUUGUGGCAUGUUCUAACAUGCUUGUAACUGAUGGCUAUUUUCUGUUCUCCAGAAAAAGAACCUUUGGAAAAAAUAGCCUGCAUCGAAGCAGCACUCUUCUAAUUUAGCGAUCAUCUAGUAUUGUUCAAGAUAAAAUCCUUAAUCCUUAAAGAAGAGGUCAUUUACAGGAAAUGUUCUGAUUACCUGGGAGUAGAUCUGUGCUAUUUAUGCAGUCUGAAAAGGGUUGGUUUGAGGGGAAAGAUACAGGAUGUUGCAUUUUUUUUCUUUUUUUUUUUAAUUUGAAAAAUAUGGAGCAGGAUAAACGUGGAAUAGUUAUCAGAAAAAUGAAAUCUGAACUAAGGAAGCUUUGGUAGUGCAUGUGUUGGUUUUUUUUGUCAUUCUUUUUUAAAGAAGUGCUAUACAUCAUGGGUGGGUAAGUAAAUAUUCCAUGAAGGUAAAAAUAGAAUCAUAGAAUAUAGGGAUCCACAAGGAUUCAGCCCAGCUUCAGGUUCUGGACGAGAAUACCUACCAUCAAACCCAAUGUCUGAGAGCAGUGUCCAAAUCCUUAUUGAAGUCUGGCAGGCUUGGUGCUGGCCACCCUAUUGAUGAAGAACUUUUUUCUAAUCCCCAAAGUGAACUUUACAAUGGAAUGCACAAGAACAUCAGUUCUUGGUGUAGUAAGAUAGCCCAGCAGCCAAAAAGACCUUAAUGUUUGUGGCAAUAGAGGAAGAAGUUAUGGCUUGACCAAUUCCUGAUACAUGCUUUCCAUUUCUCUGCUCAUCAGUGCUUACAUUCUGUCUUCACAUAUUUGUUUUUGGGAGUGGCAAGGAAAUGAAACUAAUGAAAUUAGUACUGCUGCUUUGAAUACAUCUCAUCUUAUAAAAAAAAAAAUUAAAAAACAAAAUGUUAGGUAAGUGUUGCUGGCAGACAUGGUCAAUGUAGUGAAUUGUUAAGAAAUGUAGGUAAUGAUUAGAAUUAUCCUGUUGCCCAAGAAUAUGUAAAUAUCCUUUUUGUUGUUGUUGUUCUUGAGUUUAUUUGCAUUUCAGUCAAGGAUGUAUGGCAGCUAAUGCUUAAAAUGUUAAAAUACUUAAAAUGUUUAACGAGUUUGGAUUCCCAGUCGAUACCUUAUUUGAGCAAAACUGCACUAACCUUGUUUGAAAGAAAAGCCUGAAGACCGACUAUAGCAACAUCUUUUAUGAUCACAUUUAAAGUGGCAGAAAGCACUGGAUUCUCUUAGAAUACUUACAUUACAACCAAAGUUCUAAAGUCCAAAGUGCUGCAGAGAAAUUAACCAGUUGGGAUUCUCUCUGAAACAGCUUUGCAGAAGUAUCCCCUACUCAGAGGUUUCUGGUUUUAUCGCUGAUUGUGCAGCUGUGUGUGAAACAUGCAGAGUAAUUUGUUUCCUGUUCCUCUCUGGUUUGGCUUCUUUUGCAUAUUUGUGUUGAUGUUAUAUCCACUUUCAGAUCUUCUGCAUUAUUCAUUAUGAUCUGCUACUUAUUUAGUCUGAUUUGAAUGAGUACCUGAAUAUCUUUUGCUAUUGUUUCUUGUUUUCAGUCAUUAGUCAUAUAUCCUAAAUUCAUUAGUCUUAAACUCAUCCUUAAGAAACAUUGCCUAGAUUGAGAAAGAAAUAGCUUCAAAGAUGCUGACGCUUUCAGAUUUGCAGGACUUUUACACUUAUCUUAUGUACUACCUACCUGUUCAGGAUGCUCUUGUUUAUCAGAGAGCUGUUUUCAAGAGUGUUCUGUUGCCCUGCGUGAAUCAGUCACUUAUAAGGGAGAACCUGUGAUGUGGUCAGAUUUUAAAACGUAGUUUUGUAGUGUAUAAGCAUUUUUCCUUAUAGGAAAAGCUGUAAGAUAAGCUUUUUCCCUCUAGUUUGGAGAUGAGGUCAGGAUUGCUGUGCUAAAUACUAAUCGGCAUUUGUCUGAAGGAUUAUACUAAUUUACUGCUGUGAUUGUGGUGAGAUAGGUUGAAGCAUUGACAUGGGAUAGCUAGCCCAUACUGCUGAGGUGUUAGUGUGCUUGCUGCCAUGGUUGAUGCCAGCUGACACUCACCCAGAUGAUACCAGUGUGCAGGGCAUAGCACAAGUAGGUGCUGUUCCCAAAAGGAAGCAGUGAAAGAGCUACUCAUCUUUAAUAACAGAGUUUGGCAGUAUGAAUACAGACUUCUUCAUGCACUAGAAUGAUAUGGAAUGAGUAAUGGAUUCUUUUGAAGAGUUUGGUUCUAAAAGUAUAUUGGUUUCAUUUGUACUAAAAAUGUUUGCAUUAAAGUAAUACUGUGUGUAGAUGAAAAGUUAUCCUAAACAGACAACUGUUCAAAGUACAGGAUGUUAAUAAUGUUAAUAGCAGUGCUGCUGUCUUUUCCUCACGUAGAAUCAAAUUCUCAUUUUUGAUUCUAAUUCUAAUGUGGGAUGAACUGGUUUUGAUAUCUACAAAUGUGGCGAUUUUUAUCUGGCCAUUCAAAUACACUUGAAUUGAAAGUUCAAGCUCCUCAGGCAUCCUCUAGGUCCAAAGACCUGUGAUUGUCACAAGAGUUUUGUUGAUGGGGCUGGAAUUUGCAUACACCUUGUUUUUGUUAAAGGUAGACAAUAUUGAGAACAGAAAAAAAUUACAGUUUUAGAAUCAUACUUCAAAGUAUUUACCUCUCAGGUUAAUAGGAACACAAACAGUAGCAAGAUACCUCUGCUAUGUUACUGUUAUACAGCCAGCUGAGAUAAACAACUGCAUGUGUGCAAAACAAAGAAGUUAGAGUACUGUAGAGCUAGGAAGAUAGUAGAUACUUAUUUUCAAAAAAGAAAGUACAACACAGGAGGUGUUUGAAUUAGUCCUUGCUGAUUGAAAGCAAUUCUCAGGAUUUCAUGAGGUACUACUUUUCUACUUAAUAAGCUUUUUUUUUUUGACUUGACAGUAGGCUACCAUUUUGCAAAAAUCAUUGCAGUUUGUUCUCUUCAUAAAAUGGGUUCAAUCAUGAUGCAAUUAAGAUAACUAAAUUGAAGAAUGUCAUCCCAAAGCAUGUGAUGUAGCUAUUAAACAAAAUAAGUGCCACGUUGAAGGAAUUGCUUUUUGAUGUGUUGUUUAUUCUUUCUGAUUAUUCUUUGUGCAAACUGAAUGCAGUGAUUGCUGUGCAUAUAGGAGUUGAACUGAUGACUUGAAUGAAAUUUUGCUAAUUGCUUCUUGGAAACAUUGGAGUAUUUGAGGGUGGACAGGUAGCCAGCCCAAACUCAUUCUCUGCCGGUUGCGUUUCAGCAGCAAACAGUUCUGGCAAUGUAAGUGUGUUCCUGUCUGUGCGUAUUUCCUCUGCAUGGAAGUUCAUUUGCACACGCUUACCGUAGAACCUCUGAACUCCAACAUGCUAGUGAAACUUCUCUGCAAUUUUGAACAAUGGAAGAAGUUAUGCUAGGUGUGAAAUAUUUGUACAGAACGUCUAAUUCCAUCAGUUCAUCUUAAUAGAUUGUCUUCUCCACAUUAGCUUGGUUACUUGCUUCACUCUGUUACUGAUGCCAAUCAUCAGUUUGCACUUAAGCUUUAAUUUCAGUAUCACUAGAAACUGAAAUUAGGAGUUUAUCUUCUAUGUAUCUAUGUGCAGAAGUUCGUAGGAAGUAAUUGCAUGCUCAUCAUUUUUCUCCACUUUGAGAAACAAUGGACUUCCAGAACUUUGUACACAUUCAGAAUUCCUUCCCUGUUUUCUGGAGGAAAAAAAGUAACUGAAAGGAGGCAAUCUGUUUAUUUAUCAUGAACAUUUUUGAAGUUGCCGUCGACUCUGGCAUUUAACAAGUAGCUGUGAUGAUUCAUUGACUUCAGAUAGCAAGUCACUCACUAAAAAAUGAAGCUCCUAUCCAAAGAGAAAUAUAAUAAAUAAUUGAGGCAAUACAGCAUUCAUUAUAAAGGCUGUGAGCUGUGUUUAGGUUAAAGUCUUGACCUCUCUCAGCAGGAGGAGUCAGAGAAAUAUGUUGUAGUCAUACUUCAUCUUUAUGCAUUUUGGGAUUGUGUAAUAUGAUGGAUUUUCCAGCAGAGGGAGAAGUACACUGAAUUAUCAGGAACCAAGCUUAUAAUAUUGCAAAGCUGAAAAUCUGUAUUACUUUACUUAGAAGACAUACUUACUUCUUGCAACUGCUUUUCUUUACAAAUCUCAGUAUAUCCUUCCCUAAAAUUUGUUACCAGUAAUUUUUUCAUAAUCGUUGCUUUGGUAUUUUUUUUAAACAGUCAAGUUGAGUGGUUUUUCAUUUCCACUCUUUUCUCCCUUCCCUCCCCCCCCCCCCCCAACCAUAAUAAUUUGGUCUAAUGAGCUUCACUUUUCACUGAUUGUAUUGAUAUCUGUUCCUUAAUUCUUAAUUAAACUGUGUUAAUAUAUGCUUUAAGGGACAUAUGUAUGAUAACAUUGUUUGACUAGUCAUUAUCACAGUAAUCUGACAGCUGUAACAAGGAGGGAAAAAAAAGUAUUCUUUGUUAGAACAAAAUGUUAUUUCUCUAGAAUGUGAAUGCAGAAUACAGUAUACUCUGGAUAAAAUCUCUUGAUAUGCCAAACUUGGGUUAUACGUUUUGGUAUUGCUGUUACUUUACUGCCCACAGGUCUGUUCUCCUCUUUGCCUCUUGCUCAGGAAAGCAUGUUAGCCAUGUGCUGAUGGUUAGCAAUCUGCUGGUGGUGCAUGGUUUCAAGGAUUUUAAUCUGUGGAGCUACUGUGCAGUCGUUUAGGUGUUUUUUUUACAGACAAGAUUCGUGUCCCCCCACAAAGACUUUUAAGUAAUGGAAUGUUUUGUUGCAGAACAUGAUAAAUUUUGAUCAUUGCUGUCUCAGCAGUUUCAGCUUUGUUUUAAGAGACUCUGUCAGAGAGAGCAGGGGAGGGAGGGAGGGGGUGGUGGAAGCUGUUAAAGCUUUAGUGAGGCUGCUUUUAGUCUUUGUAACAAAAUUAACCAAUAUGGAAAUAAUUAUUUUGCAAUAACCAAGUCCUCUGUCCUUCUUGUGAAAGUGGCCCUGUUCAGCAGUGAAACUAACGGCACUGGGAAUAUUACUGGGUAACAGGUCCUCAGAGACCAAUUCAUGUAACACUGUCAAAUUACACAAUGUCAGUGCAAGGUAUUGAAGAAUACAUUACAAUGACAAAUUAGAUGUGCAAGGUCCUUUGAAUAAUGUAGCUCUGUUGAAGGUGGAAACUCAUUUCAGAGUAGCUCUUGGGACUUCACAGGCUAUCUGGGAUUUAUGAACAUAACAGGUAUUUUGCUUUUAGGAUCUGGGGAAGGGAAAGCUAGCUCUAUGGUUCAGCUCUUGUUCAUGUUAGAUGAAUUUGCUUGUUCCUACAAGAUAUCAAUAUAUCCCUCUGUCUCCCUUCUGCAGGGAAUUUGCAUAUGACAGUUGUUUAGGUAACUCUAACUCACAGAGCAAGAUUUGAAGAUUUAUUUUAUUUCAAUAAGGGGCUACUGCAGUUCUACCAGUAGAACUGAGGAUGUAUAGAAAAAGGCAGCUAUAAAUCUAAGCUUUGCUAGAAUGUUUCCUGUUGUAGCUGAUACUGAAUUUAGUUGCACUGAGCAGGUCCUGUGCUGAAAGGACAGACUGAAAACUUUCGUAAGCCUGCAAUACUGGGGGCUGAGACUGAGGAAAAUAGGAUAAAAAAGCUGGAUACAUAACAAGAUUUAAGACCCUCAUCUGAAAUGAUAGUUCUUAAAGCUCACUGCUUCCCAAGCUUGAAGGAAAUUCCUUCCCCCCCCCCCCCAGUAAUAUUUGUUAGGCAUCUUUGGCCAUGCUUUUGGUUCAGUACUGUUGAUAAAGUGAAGCAGCAUGGUCCCUCACUUCUGAGCCUAAUGUCAUACUACUAUUUUGGCCUUUGGAGCUUGUGUCCAUAUGUAUUCUCAGAAUACCCUUAGCAGGUAAUGUUUCUCAAUAUCUCAGAAUUAUCUUUGUAGAUAAGUUUCCCAGUGAGUUGACAUUUUCUACAAACAAGACAAACUAGGAAGAAACUAUGGUGGGAAACUUGAACAAUGACUCAUUUGUUGCAAAUGUGGAGUCUUAGGUUGUUAAUGUCUGAAAUAGGAUGAAGCUCUGGACAGUACAAAGGCUAAGAUGACUAAAUAUGCUUUGGUAGCUUUUUAAUUUGGGAAAGUACUCUGCCUGGUCCAUUUUCAAAGAAGGUGAUGUGCCACUGAGUAUUGUGAAUUCAGGUCUUCAGUAGCAAUUUUUAGUUUUUCUGAAAUGUUUGAGCAGUGGUUAUGAAGACUUUAUUUUUCAGAAGUCUUGUGGGAUUUGAAAGGGAGGGGCUUUUUUCAGUGAUUGAGAUCAGUGUAAAGUGAUAUGAUUAUUGUGUAGAGAUAACAGUUUUUUUCUUCCUUUUUUUAAAGCUUAGAUUCCAUAGUAAAUGAGCACAGAUUUGCUUUAGGAACAGUCAGUUUUAUAGACUUUACUUGCUCACACCUCGAACACAUCUGUGCCACUGAAACCUUAUGAACCUUAAGGUGAUCCUAUGAAGUUAUAAUUCAUCUGUGGUUCAUUUCACAAUAGAUCUGAGUGUCAGAAGAUUUAGCCUAUCAUGACCUGUGUUUGUACCCCUAAAAACAGGCCAGAUUGUAUGAUUUCUUGUUUGUUUUAAUGAAUAUUUCAUGAUGGACUAGUUUGGUUCAGUGGUUAGCAAACGGGUUGACAGUCAGACGGUGUGUUUUUACAUUGGUGAGUUCAUCACUGUGACAUCUGCAGUGGCAUUUGAAAAUGUAAAAGUAUUUGCUGAAAGCUGUCUGAAUUUUUAUAUGUUUGUUUCAGCAUUGUAAGAAUAUUGAUGAAAGGCAUUUCUUCACUUUCAUAUCUUGAUAGUCCUAUGAGCAGGAAUGCAAGAGCAUCUUUGAGUCAGUCAUCACUGCUGAACUGUGUAGUUCACUGUGAUCUUAACCCAGCAGCCACGAGGUUGACAGCUUACUCCUUCAGAAAGUUGUCAGCAAUGCUGAUGUGGCAGCAGCAGGGUGCCUUGGCUUAAGCCAAUAGAUAAAUGGAGAGUCCUUUUUCCUUCUUUUUCCACGUGGUGCAGAGGAAAGGAGGAGUACUAAGCAGCAUGAUACUAUUAAGCUCUAAAUGUCAAUUGGACCAAAUGAGAGAUGUUUAAAGCUUCUCUGAUGUAAUCACAAGCACGCACCAAGAUAACUGAGACCUGCCCCAGUUGAAACUGUGGCUGGUUGGCAUAGUUGAUCUUGGGUGGUGAGGAUGGACACUUAGUCUGACAGACCUUGGUGUAAGGCUGUGGUGGCAGCUCAGCACCAAUUCAUAACUGUUCCAACCUGGACACUCCACUUCUGCACGGUGACAGAUCUGUGCAUACCAGCUCAGUGCCCCCUUUCCCAUUUCCUCACAGGCAGCUACUGGCACAAGCUGCUGAUCAAAUCAGUUCAUGCUGAUAACAAUGGUGGAAGUUUCCAGCAGUUUCAGGUAUUGUUCUCCUGUCUCUCAUUAAGCUAUGUAUAUGGGGAUAUAUAAUUUUCACCUUGAUCUGCUCUGGCAGAUUGCAUUUUGAAAUCUUAGCUAAAAAGGUAUAAUGAACAUGUAAUCAAAUGUCCACCCAUCACAUAGAGUACUACUCGAGGGGUUAUAUUCAUCUCUUGCUUUCUCUUUCAUCAGGCAAUGCAAAGUUCUCUGUUACUGCCAGAGUGAUGGCUUACUGUCAGUACAGUCCUAUCACCUCAAUUCAAAUGAACUUCAAUGUGUUUAUUAGUGCUUUGUGCUUCCCCUGUGUUUAAACUGAUACAUAACUGAAUUCACAUGAAAUUCAUGUGAAUGAAAUGAAAUGCAUCCACAGCCACCUCCUUUUUAAAAUGCACACUAUCUGGUAUUUCUGUAAAUAAUCCCAGCAAUGGAUUUCCUUUUUACUAAUUUCUAGUCCUCCUUCCUCUGUGAAAGUAGAAGGCUGCCAGUGGGGAAAUGUGAAUGUGAAUGGCUUCUGUGACCAGUGCUGUUGGACAGAAAGGGCUGCCACACCAGCACCUUAGGCUGGCAGAUCAACAUAAGAGAAGGUAUUGGCAUCUAGCUUGUCCAGGAUUCCCUCUGGCAAUGCACAGCCUGGAUGAAAGCAGUAAGGUUGUGCAGGGCUAGAGGAUCACUUGAAAUCCAUGUUAUUUUAUUUGGAACUUAGCUUCUCUUUUUGUGUGUUGACUGAGUCCUUCAAGGCAGAACUGUGUAUGGACUGGAUAGGGUUUAUGUCAUGUGCUAAUCUUGAAAAAUUAUACUGUUUUAUGUAUUUAAUUAUAUGUAUUAUAUAUUGUUGUCCUAUUGCUGUUUGGCUUCUGGUCUGACUUUAUAGAUUUCUGGGUACUUAUUACCAGAACAGCCUAUUUUGGUAACCUUAAGUUACUGGAAUUGACUUGGACUACAGCUGUGUGGCAUCAGAGCUCAGGUCAGGAUAUGUGGCACUAAUAAAUGGGUUAAAUAGCAUUUCUUGCAAUAAUUCUGCACUUGCACUCAGGCACUUAAUGGUUGCAGAGACUGAGCUCUAGUUAUCCAUCAGCUUGCUACCUGUGCUGGCUGUAGCCUGAAUCAGCUCUACACCAUCUAGGAGUGGUUGUGGUUGAGGAGCUAGUUCCAAUACUGUUCUACCUGAUAUUUGCCAUCUGUGUGAGGUAAAACUACUUGAAACCAAGGUGAGUCUCGUGCUCAGUGGUUUUUAUUGCUGCUCUGAGCAGAGGAAAUUUCAUUAACUUGAAUUCAAGUUAGAUGGCUAUUUUGUAGUAAGGGAAAGAUUUGGUUUGUUUUAGUACACUGUAAAGAAAGGUCUAGCAAUUAGAAGAUUAUUUUUAAUAAUCCCCUUUUAAUAGGGGUGGGUUAUCAAGCUGGAAUCCUCAAAAAAAUAAUUAAGUUGAUGAGGAGAAUAACUAGGCAAGAUCACAGCGAUGAUGAAAGUUUUUACUGAAACAAAGAAAUUUGUAUCAGUUACGGUUGCAAGUUUUCUCUUAUGUGCACUGGAUUACCCCUGCUCAGUCUGUUUCUUCAUAUGUUUCAUGCUAUCUUCAGAAGCUGUGAGCAUGUUAUAUAUGGGAGAGAAGAAAAUGAGAUUUCAGAUGAACGUAACAUUAAAGAAAUUUUUUAUUCAUAUUUCUAUCACUGAUCUAACAGUUUCUGUUAGUGACCAAAUUAGAUCUAAUCAGUUGACCCAUGCAGUAUAUUUGCCAUUGAAAAUGCCCACACCUUGUGUAUGACCAGAGAAAGUUACGUUAACGUACCUUUUGAAGAAGCCAGUUGUUCUAAGUUUAGAUAGCCUGUGGAGUGUUAACUUACUCCUUGGCAAUUACUGCAAAACAAACUAUAAUAGUUUCCUGUUUCUGGGGGUGCCUAAUCCUUUUUCAGAUGAGGGGAAUAUCUCUGAAUGCAAUUGCCCUUUCUCUUGUCCCUCAGUGCUGAAAGAAUAGACAAGAAGGAAGUAAUAAACGGAGUGAAAAGCAUGUGAAAGAGAUGAAUAAAGAAGAUGAAAAAUGAGAAGUUUGCUUGUGACAAAUGCAUGGACUAGUUAUGUCAGUGCUCCAGCUCAUUUCUCACUGGCACCACAGAAAGAACAGUUCUCUUGUGGCUUUGAUUUUUCUCUUGUGCUUAUAUAAAGUUCAUAGGCUGGAUGCUUAACUAGUGUAAAUCAGUGCUGUGCUGCUUAAGAUAGGAGACAUGGAUGAGAAACUGUUCCAGGAGGAAUUAUUCUGAAGCCAUGUGCUGUAAGCAAGAUGAGAAUGAUAAUGUGUGCCUUUAUUUAACUCAGGUCCUUGAGCAGAGGAAUUGGUAACACAAGUAGUAUUGGUAGCAGUGCCUUCAGCACUCCUUGGCUUGAAAGAUAAAGCAAUCAAAAAAGCAAUAUUGUAUAAGUAAGAAGCAGGCAGUGAAUGGGGCAGAGCUGCUAAGUGAGGAACACCUUGAUGAAAGUGGUCAAUACCUUAAGGUAUCACAGUUGAUACAGAGGACCUGGACCUUGGGAAAGUGGGAAGUAUCUGGUGGUUUAAUACUGUUCUUAUUCCAAUGAUAUGGGCUCUCUGUACCAUCUGGUUCUUUGCCUCAGCAUUUGUAACGUGACCUGCUGUCAAAAAAUGUUUCCCUUGCAAUUACAUACCACAAAAUGGUUUCCAUAUAACAAGAUGUGUUUCAAGUGCACAUAAAGGGCUAACUGCCCAGUUUGAGUGUAUUUAAAUGAUCUUUCAUCUAUAAUUUAUGUACAUUGCUUUUGUCAGGUAUGUAUUGAUUACCAUUCUAUUGGAUGUCAGCUCACUCAGAGAUGCAUGAAGCAAGGCAGGGAGGUGGUCCUCCUAUUAGUGCUCUAUUAAGCUGCAAUGAUUUGUGGCUUUGCAUACUACAGAAGCUGUGUAAAGUCAUGAAUCUUGGGAAGAGAGCAGAUUGAUGCAGUAUGAAGUUUGUCCUUUCUUUGGAAACGCUUCUGUGUGAGCUGUGUGAGAACUGUUUUUACAUGUCAUAGCUGCACAGAUCUGUACUGGAAUAUUGCUCUCAGAACUCAGCUGAGAUGUAUACUUGUGUUACUAGAAGAUUAUAGAUGUGAGCAGUUACUCCACAGAGUUAGCAGAGAGCAGUAAAUCCCCAAAUCUGCCUAGGCAGCCUUAUGACCUAGAUCAAAUCUAUGAUCACUUUGUUUUUUGAAAGAGUCAUGACACGUAUACAAUUUUAUCUCCUCCUUCCCUGUUAGUCACAACAGGAGAAAUAAACGCUUCUUUUUUCUUUUUUUUCCUUUUUUCUUCUUUUUCCUUUUUUUUUUUUUUUCCUUCCCCAGUCAUACGCAGGGAAGGAGAAAUAUCCUCGAGGCAGCAUUUUUAAAGCUGGUGCAUCUUUAACAGUUAAAGGUGGUACUUAUUUCAGUAGUACUGGAAGGCUUAAAUCAGUAUCAGGGAUCAGAUGUGUGAAGCUUUGUAUAAACAUGAAGCAAAAUUGAGCUGAUAGUCUAAAUUUUUUAUAUUCUGGAUAGAAUUAAAAGUUGAUCUAGACUCUCUAAACAACAUUGACCAUCUGUUGCUAGCUGCUUAUGAUCAGUGUGUCCCCCUGUAUAGCUAUGACGGGCUACUGCAGAUAGCUUUCUCUGCAUUGUUCUGGGGAUACUUCUCAGGAACCAAGCUAAGCUCUGUUGGCUGUAAUACAGUUUUUUCUGUAGAAGCACUGUAGGUUCAGGAGCGCUAAAGGGGAAAGGCGAUGUUGUGAUGAACAUUCUGGAUGGUGCAGUAGCUAACCAUAUCUCAUUAUGCCUGGGUCACAAUGAUUUUGGCUCUUUCUAUAGUCCCUAACAAGCUAGACUGAGAUCUCUGAAGGAGCAUCAAGCAGUGUUUACAGUGGAAAGUUGCAGAGGUCAGCAGGAAGAGUUUUUGAAUGUGCUACUACAGUAAUGUUUCCUUGCAGAGUGGUGCUGUGGAUCUAUUGUGCUAUGUAGAAGUGCUGCCUGAAUUGGACUAGAAGUGCUGCUGUUCAGGACUGGAUUGUCCUUCCCAUGCAAGUAGAUCCUUAGCUUUCUGUUACUUCCUACUAAACUCCUCUAAGACUUUUCUGAGAGGCUCAGCUUGGCGAGUAAGAGAAACAGACCUGGUCAGGUACUGGUGAGCAUUUUGUGCCUUUCUACUGCUGAAAUACUUUCUAUUAUAGAAUCUGUAGUGCCAAAUCAUGCAGUUUUGUAGCUUUGCACAAUCAAAUUAUUUUGCCCCAAGACUUGAGUGCCAGACUGAAAAGAAAGGUUGAAUUAAAAGGAUUAGAAGAAUUUUUCAGAGAAGUAUCCAAAGGGAACAAAUACCACUGAUUAACUUAAUAGGUGAAUGACCAUCACUGUGCUGCAGAAACAUACCUCUAAAUGGGAUUCUCAGUGCAAGAAAUCUGAGGGAAGAAGUUUGACAAUGACAGAUGUUUCUGUGUAUGGUGUAUUUGUAGACAAUGAAACUGUUUUCUUCAUUUACUUGUCUGUUUGCUUAAAUGAAUUACCUAAGAAAAGGCAGGUGUUUUUAUUCAUUUUAUUCUUAUUUAUUAAUUUAUUAUUACUAUUUAUUAUUAUUUAUUAACUUAUUUAUGUUAUAGAUAUUCAAACUCAGGCAGACUGUUAUUUAAGAUGGAAUGGAAUCAGUUUGAGCUUUCUGUAGGGAAAAUUCCUGUUUUCCUUUGGUGUCAUUCUUGGUGUUUUUGAGACCCGCAUCAUUACUUGCAGCAUGCUUGCUAGAAAUAGUUUGCUGUUCAAGCUUUUGAUUCUCUUCUGUCUCUUGGCUCUGUGCCUCACACCGUGAGUAGAUCUUAUGGUCUGAUUUCCUGGUUUUUAAGUUUGCAAGUAUUGGCCUAUGCUGUAUGUACAGGUAGAUAACAUAUAAACUUGGAUUCUGCUUCUGUCAAAAAAUACAUAAUAAAACCUAUGUACUCUGGCACCAGAGGAAAACAGCAAACCAGUGCUUCUCUAAGACGAAGGGAUGUCUUGUAUCUGUGUUUCGGAAUGAUUAAAGGAAGGAGGUGUCCCAUGUGUCUUCACAUUGUCACAAAGUACAUGAAAACAGAAAGGCUGUUAGGCUAUUCUAGGUUUCUGUGUUAAGUCAAAAUCUGGCUUCCAAGUUUACAUUGUUUACUGCCUCUAGCCUUCCCUCUUCUAUAAGGAAGCAAAUAAUAUGCAUUAAUGUACUGGGGCACAUUACAAUUUCUUAAAUUUCAAUUUCGUUUACCUUAGCUGCUGAAUUAUUUCAGAGAGAGGUCGUCUUUAUAUCAAAUAUCUUUUUUUUUUUCUUCCCAGCUAUGGCUGGAAAUAUCUGUGUAAACUGAUCAAUGAUAUAUAAACUGUUUGUGGUAAACUACACUGAAGUAUCACUGCUUGUUACUGUGAUCAUAAAACCCUUUAUUUCAUGUCUGAACAGCUACUGGGACAAUUCACGUGAGAUCUACCAACAUAGAUCUUAUUUGUUGAAGAUCUGCCCUUUACUUUUGGUUGUACAUCUAUAGGUAGCUUUCCCUUUCAGGAUAGUCAAGCAAGUGGCUGGUGGAAAUUAAAGUUAAUAUUUUUUUGUCUCUUUUACCCUGAACUUUUGGGAUAUUGUACCUUGUUGUAAUUUGUGAAAAUUCAGUGAAUUUCCCAUUUCUGCCAUGUAAGUUUUAUUUGCAGCCCUCCUGAGCAAAAGAUGUAUGUUGAUAAUUUCUGGUAUUUCUGCACUGGUGGAUACUCCAGCUAAUGUUGCAAACAGACUUUCAUUAUAGCCCUCUUUUUAUCCUUCUCAACUCAUAUAUUUUUUGAAAAAUUCUGCUGUCUCAAAACUGCCAUCAUUAGUCUCAGCUCAAAAGUUUUGAGGAAGAUUUCAAUUAAAUGCAUCCAGCUAUUAUGCUAAUAGGAGGAGGAAAAAAAAUUCCAUCACCUUUGUUUUGCACAUAAUAGCUUGAAUAUAGUUACAUAUAUGCUUAAGCUGUGGCAAAAUAUGAGUUGCACAUGCAAAGCAGUGCCUUCUUUCAAAGAUUUAAGUUGUAUUUUCUUUCUAUCAUAAUAAUUAAAACUAAACUAACCUAAAAUUCUAUCAAGUUGUUUUCCCCGUAUUUCGGAAACAUGAGCAUACAAUGGCAAGUGGUUUCUUUAGCAUGGGUGGGUUAGACAGGCAGUCAGCUAUUUACCCAAUGGCUCUUAUCCACUGAUGAUUUUAACUCUUGAUGAUAAUUUAUCAGUGGGCACGUGAAAGCGCUCCUGUUUGAAUUUUAUUUAAAGCAGUAUGCUACUGCCAAUUAAAAUGUCUUUCUGUCUUUAAAUCACAUCAGUUUCAAAGAAUUACCUGCUAAUUCCUUCUCACGUCAAUAAUUAUUCCAAUCUUUUUGUGAAAAACGUUUCACUUUAGUAUUUCAUGGUAUCUUAUGUUGUAUUGGCAUAGAAGAUCACAUAUAUCUUAUUUCCGGAUAUGCCAGUAGAUAUGUCACAGGAGAAUUGUACCUUAUUAUAUGGUAUCAUGAUACCCUAUGUCCUAUUACUGACAUUUCCUGUCAGAGGAACAGAUAAACUGUUGCAUUUUUAAAUUUUAUUUUAUAAAAUUGUCACCAAUAUCUUCAAUUUAGUGCUCAUUGAAACACACUGCAAUUAAAAUCAAGAACUCGCAUUUGUAUUUGCAAUGAAAGAAUCUGAUAUUUUGAUAUUUAAUUGAGAAAUAGGAACUGAGCACUCAUGAACGACAAACAGAUGUGUCUUCCAAAAAUUCAUCAACUCAUAAUAUCCUAAAAUUUUAUGAGACAGCUAUUUUUCAGAAAAUGUUUCAAAAUGUGCUUGGAUAUUUCUUCUGCAGUAGCUUUUAUUUUCUGCAAUUAUUCUAGUUGGGAAAAUAGUUCUGACUUCUCCCUGCUGGGAAGAAGAAAAGUUAUUAACAACUCUUUUUACAGGACUAAGACAGAGAAAACAAAUGCUCUGUAGUUUGUUGGAAUUAUUUUACCCUUAAUAUGGCUACAGAAUUCAUAAUCGUCUUCAGACACUGAAUGCUCAGCUGAUGUUUACAGUGAAGAUCAUUCAUGUUUGAGUACCGGUCUGUGUUUUCUUUUUGUUUCAUGUUGUGGUCAGGCCUUAUCUUCCAUGAUGGCAAGACAUUUUUACUGAUCUUUUGCAUGUGUCUGACCAUGUUCUUACGUUCUAUCUUCUGUGCCCUAGAGUCAUUAUCAAAACUUUUCAAGUCAAUUGCAGUCCUUGGGGAAGUGGCUGCUAAAUGACAAUAAGUAUUAUUUAUCCGUCCUUUAUUCAGUGCCAGCUGUGCUUUUCCCCAGGACUUCCUGAAGAAGUCUGCCAAGUGGCAAAAGCAGUAUUAAGCAUGUUGAGAUUCACUGCUGCAAGUCUUGACAAAGCAGGGUUUUCCCCUUACUCUGCUGUCGCUACCCUGGGUGAGCCAGAGGGUACAGGGCUGCUGACUGACAAGGUAAACUUUCCCCUUGUGUUACCUACCUGUCAAAUGUUUCUCUGCUUGCUACACACAACCACUGGGUCACAUCCAUAAAAUAAAUGCAUGAAGUUCACCUUCUUUUUGUUUAAAAGAGAGGUGAUUGCUCCUCCCCAAUAGGCUUUGAGCUUCUGUCCAUAUAAAUAAUAAUUCUAUUAGCUCUGAGCACUUGCAUGUGCUUCUUCUUUUGCCUCAAGGCUAUAAGAAGCAAUGCUGCUGGUAGUAUCAUAUGUAUAUAGUUUCGGGGCUUGAUCUGUACAGUUUUUAAAGUUCCCUAAUGAAA
rnacentral:lncRNA from 1 species